rnacentral:lncRNA from 1 species
UUUAAAGUGCUUUAAUAUAUUUUCUACAAUUUAGUCUAAUCUUGCAGUUAUAAGAUAAUACAAAAUAUUUUCAUGUACAAUUGAAGCACUCGCAACUUAACGCUAUAGCGUGUAUAUGAUAGUUGCUGCCGAUUACAUCGAUCCAAUGCCGAAAGAACAUCAGAUGUUUUUUUCUCAUGGAAUAUCUUUCUCAUGAAAAAUUUUGAAAUAAAAGUUACGCACGCGCAUAAACUUAUCAAUAGGUCAUUCAGUUUUGUUCUUUCAUGAGGUGCAGACGCAAGUUACCAUUAAGAAUAUUCAAAAUAGAAAAAUUAUUUAUUAUCAGAUUGUAAUGUAAGACAUAUAUUAUUUAUCGUGAAAUAAUUUUAGUUUUUAUGUAUUUUCUUAUAUGUCAACGUUUUCGUCAUUUUCUGUUAAGAACUAAAAUAUAUUAGAAUAUAAUAAUGUAUGUACAUUGUGCGUGCGUGCGUGCGUGCGUGCGCGCGCGCGCGUGUGUGUGUGCGAGCGUUCGUGCGUGCGAGCGUUCGUGCGUGCGAUCGUUCGUGCGUGCGAGCGUUCGUGCGUGCGUGCGUGCGUGUGUGCGUGCGCGUAUAUUGUUACGCGCACCGCCCGAUAUACUUUUUGACCCGAGUCAGCUGUCCGAUUACGAAUAUCGAUCGGCGGCAGCAGGCAACUAAUGCUAAGCAACAAAAUGAACAACUAGUUGAAAAGAGAUCGCAGGCUUAUUCGGACGUGUCUCAACAUUACUCUGUACUUGUUCUGAAUAAAGUUCUUUGGUUCGUUCGGAAAAGUAAAUGUGUGUUUUCUCUUCCGUUUGAAAAAUGGCAGAAAAUAAUAUAGAGUCGUUGAACGCGGAGUGAAGAACAGAGAGGUGGGUUGUACGAUUGCGAGUAGAGCGGACACGGAUUACUAGGUCACAUUUGGCGAAUAUAAUAAAUUUGAGAGUUUAACCAUAUGAAUCGAGAGGAUUCAUUAAACUUCUUUUGUCUCAAAAGUUAUGAUUACUUACACACUAUAGAUUUAAAAGCGAUUUUUGAUUAUAUAAAAGGAAUUGUGAAGAAUUUUAUAAGAAAUAAGAAGUAGCUGACGAUUGAAAAAAAAAUAUUUACAAGAACACCAGAGUGAUAAUAAGGACAAAGAACGGUUUGACUGAAGUUUUUAGUACGACGAAGGGAAUUAAACAAGAAUGUAUCAUGAAUCGUCUGCUUUAAUUUUAAUUUGUAUAUAGCGAAUCUAUAUGGAUACUUGGGAGAAAGAGGAAUAAGAUGUUUCCUAAAAUUAGAAAACGAGAGGAUUUAGUCACUAGCGUAUACAUAUAACAAAGGUGAUUGUAUUCAAUAGAAAUGGGAAAGAGAAGGAAAAAUGGAAGUGGGAAAAUGAGGAGUUAGAAAAGGAUGGCAUUCUUCUCACUCAGCGCUACGUAGCGUGUCAUUUCGUAAACAACAUCCACUGUUUUAUGAAUAAAAAUAGUUCGUCAAGAGCGCGGAAGAAAGCGAGAUUUUGCCAUCGACAUAUAAUACUAAACUGAAAUAUGUCAGUCUAUAAAAGAGACUGAGGAGGAUAGAAUUAUGAAAACUCUUAUUUAAGAAAGUUUACGAAAUCUUAUUAAUGAUGUGCACGAAUGACUUUAUAUUUUCGACCUCGAUCAAGUUUGAGAGGCAGUCCAGCAUUGCAUUAAUGUGUAAUUUAUACUUAAUCUUUAGUUAUUGACAAAUUACUUAAUGUGGAUAUUUAUAAAACCUUUUAUUGUGGAUUAUUAUAAAACUCCAAAAUUAAAAAAGCUAUUUAUUAAAUUUAAUAUAUUUUUACCAAACAAUGCAUCCAUAGAAAGAUUAUUUAAUAUUGUCACCUUCCAAUAAUCUGUGAUGCGUAAUUUAUCCACAAUUUUUUAAAUAAUUAUAAUUUUCUUUAGAAGGUUUAAAUCUAUAAAAAACAUUAUAUGAUAUAAUGUUUAGAGUGCUAAAUUCAUU